GGCAACGUGGCAGAAUUGGCAAAUGCUCCUGACUUGAAAUCAGUGAACCCGAAAGGGUAUGUGGGAUCGAAACCUACCGUUGUCG
rnacentral:tRNA from 1 species